GGUAGGGGAGCGUUCUGUAAGCCUGCGAAGGUGUGCUGUGAGGCAUGCUGGAGGUAUCAGAAGUGCGAAUGCUGACAUAAGUAACGAUAAAGCGGGUGAAAAGCCCGCUCGCCGGAAGACCAAGGGUUCCUGUCCAACGUUAAUCGGGGCAGGGUGAGUCGACCCCUAAGGCGAGGCCGAAAGGCGUAGUCGAUGGGAAACAGGUUAAUAUUCCUGUACUUGGUGUUACUGCGAAGGGGGGACGGAGAAGGCUAUGUUGGCCGGGCGACGGUUGUCCCGGUUUAAGCGUGUAGGCUGGUUUUCCAGGCAAAUCCGGAAAAUCAAGGCUGAGGCGUGAUGACGAGGCACUACGGUGCUGAAGCAACAAAUGCCCUGCUUCCAGGAAAAGCCUCUAAGCAUCAGGUAACAUCAAAUCGUACCCCAAACCGACACAGGUGGUCAGGUAGAGAAUACCAAGGCGCUUGAGAGAACUCGGGUGAAGGAACUAGGCAAAAUGGUGCCGUAACUUCGGGAGAA
rnacentral:rRNA from 1 species